GUCGCCGUCAGCUGAAAUUCGUAGCGGUUAUCGGUAAAAAUAAUCUAAACUAUCAAUCGCGUUCACUCGAGAUAUAGUUUUUCGCAUUCCAUUCAUAAAUCGCAAAAAGAAAAACCACUACUGACCUACCUUUUAAGUAAUCACACUGUAAUAAUCCUGACCUUCACAUUUUCCAGAAUAUUUUCCAUUGUAAUUCCGCCAUCUUCGUUUCUAUGAGGAUCAUUUGUUU
rnacentral:lncRNA from 1 species